GUGACUUUGAAAGGCCUACUGAGUCAAACCUCACCCUGAAAACCUUUGUGCUAUAGAGGCUAAACCUGAGCUUUGGUGUGUGAAAGGUUCCAAGAAUCAGUAAAUAAGGGAGUUUCACAUUUUUCAUUGUUUCCAUGAAAUGGGAACAAACAUACAUUUAUAAAUAGAAAAAAAAAUGUUUUCUUUACAACAAAUAAUGCACAGAAAAAUGCAGCCUAUAAUUUGCUAGUUAGAAAGGCGGUCAAAGAAGUAAGAUGGCUGAAAUUUACAUAAGUAAUAUUUCAUAAUCUUAGAAUUCUCUCAAAGCAUGUGAAAUAGGAAGAAGGAAGUUCUUGCCCAGAAUCUUAGGAAAUCACCACUGUUCGGUUAUAAUCACUGCCUCCUGAAUCGUUGAGGAGUCUUUU
rnacentral:lncRNA from 1 species